rnacentral:rRNA from 1 species
GAUGAACGCUGGCGGCGUGCCUAAUACAUGCAAGGCGAGCGAACAGACGAGGAGCUUGCUCCUCUGAUGUUAGCGGCGGACGGGUGAGUAACACGUGGAGAACCUACCUAUAAGACUUGUAUAACUUCUGGAAACCGGAGCUAAUACCGGAUAAUAUAUUGAACCGCAUGGUUCAAUAGUGAAAGACGGUUUUCCUUUCACUUAUAGAUGGAUCAGCGCCGCAUUACCUAGUGGGUAAGGUAACGGCUUACCAAGGCAACGAUGCGUAGCCGACCUGAGAGCGUGAUUCGCCACAAGGGAUCGGAGACGCGUCACAGGCUUCUCAGGGAGGCAACAGAAGCGAAUAUACGGCCAUGGGCGAAAGCUGGAAGCAGCAAAGAUGUCCGAGUGAUGCAGGUGCUCGGAGCGUCAAGCGGUGUUUGUAGGGAAGAACAUAUCCAUACGUAACUAUGCACUUCUUGACCGUACCCAACCAGGAAGCCACGGCUAACUACGUG